ACUUCCUCCUUGUGCCCCGAAGGCCAGCCCGGCACUCAGGCCAGGGCACUUGGACACCACGCUGCAGGAGGCUGGUCUCGCCCAGGCCUCUGUGGGAAGGGCCGCCAGGCUGAGUGGAGGGCCAGCCACCAGCUACGGUGUCUUCCUUCGCAGGUCUGUCCCCCCAGGCAGAAGGAUUCCAGCCCAGGGAUCCCCCAUCCCACCCUGACUGCAUCCUGAGAAGGGGGGACGCCACUUCGGGAAGGUUGUUGGGGCAGCACAGGCCCUGGGGCCCUGCUCUGUGACCUUGGGCGGCCCCCUCUGUCUCUCUAGGCCUGUAUGCACCACUGGCAAAGGGGGCAGGGCCCAAGUCUACUCUAAAAGCUCCCCUUUCUCUCCAGAAGCUUUGGAGUCUCCCAAAAUGCCUGCUGGGUCUCUGCAGGACUGGCACCUGUCACCGGAACCUGUCUGGGAGGGACGAGAACACGCUUUGCAAGAGGAAGCUCUGCCUCACAGAGCCCUGGGCUCACUCAGGGACCCUGGCCAGCAGCUGCUUCCUCUCCCCACAGCGGAGAGAGACCCAAGGGUCCCAGGGCGGAUGCUUCCCACCAGGCCAGCCCAGCGUGCAGGGUGGCCUCGUAAGUCCUGAUUGACAUAUGGACAGUGGUUCAGAGAGGUUACGCUACUUGCUCAAGGUCACCCAGCUCCCAGGCCCCUGCUGUCUUCCAGGCCACUGAGGUCCUAAGCGUCCUUCCAGGCGAGCCACUGCUCACAGCCUGUUCCUCAUGUUCUGCGGCAGGUUUGUGUAUCUACAUCUUUUCCAGUUCCCUGUCGUCCCCCUUCCUACACCUCGUCAUCCACUAUCCCUGUUUGUUUUCUCUGUUCCUUUCUAGUUCUCUACCUGCUCCUCUUAUUUUUAUUUGAGACAGGGUCUUUCUUUGUCACUGAGGCUGGAGUGCAGUGGCACAAUCCCAGCUCACUGGAGCCUCGACCUCCCAGGCUCAAGUGAUCCCCCGCCUCAGCCUCUUGAGUAGCUGGGACCACAGGCAUGCAUCACCACACCAGGCUAAUUUUUUAUUUUUUGUAGAGAUGGGGUCUCACUGUGUUGCCCAGGCUGGUCUUGCACUCCUGGGCUCAAGAGAUCCUCCCACCUUGGUCUCCCAAAGUGCUGGGAUGCCAGGUGUGCACCGCCAUCCUCGGCCUUACUCUUCUCUUCCUCUCUCAGCCCCUCUGCCUCACUAUCCCUCUUUCUGUGCCCUCCCCCACACAGCCCCCCACACUUCUUCUUAGUCUCAUCUUCAGCUUCCCAUACGAGGCCAUCCUCAUGAAAUCAGGCACUGGGAGGUCCCUGGGGACUGACAAGUGCCAGCUGUCCCUUGCUGUCUCUCUGCCCCAUGGCUGCAGCAGGGAGGGUGGGCAAAGGGCAGAGGUGACAGUGGCCAAACCUGAAACUGAGGCCCAGCUCUGGUUGGGAAAGAAACAAGGAAACAAAAUAACUUGGGGACAGAGGGCGUGGGGUCAUCAGAGCGGGCAAAGGCUGCCCAGGAGUUGUAAAUCCGAGCCGCUCCCGGCUUUAUGAGGCCGAUUUGGGGUUGAGCCUGGACUUUGCCCAGGAAGGAGUGCUGGCAGCACACGGGGCGCCAGGUGUGGGCCCCGGAUGAUAAGAAGCCUCGGUGAAAAGACCAUGGACCUGGGGCCACGAAGACUGGGGAGCCCAGGUGAGUGGGCAUGGGACACUCUCCAGAGCCCUGCCGAAGGCGGACGCCAGGCAGGGCCCCGGUCUCCAAUUGGUUCCCGCCCCC
rnacentral:lncRNA from 1 species